rnacentral:rRNA from 1 species
AGCAGCCGCGGUAAUUCCAGCUCCAAUAGCGUAUAUUAAAGUUGUUGCAGUUAAAAAGCUCGUAGUUGAAUUUCGGGAUCAAUAUGUCGGUCGUGCUUUUUGGUACGUACUGGCGUCAUUGGUUUCUCCUUUCUGACGAGCCAUGAUGUCAUUAAUUUGGUGUUAUGGGGAGUUAGGACUGUUACUUUGAAAAAAUUAGAGUGUUUAAAGCAGGCA